UACAGAGGGGGCAAGCGUUGUCCGGAUUUACUGGGCGUAAAGCGUGCGCAGGCGGUUUUGUAAGUCAGAUGUGAAAGCCCCGGGCUCAACCUGGGAAUUGCAUUUGAAACUACAAGGCUAGAGUGUGUCAGAGGGGGGUAGAAUUCCACGUGUAGCAGUGAAAUGCGUAGAGAUGUGGAGGAACACCGAUGGCGAAGGCAGCCCCCUGGGUCAACACUGACGCCUCAUGCACGAAAGCGUGGGGAGCAAGCAGG
rnacentral:rRNA from 1 species